ensembl:snRNA U6 U6 spliceosomal RNA
GUUCUUGCUUUGGCAGCACAUAUACUAUAAUUGGAAUGAUACAGAGAAGAUAAGAAUGGACCCUGAACAAGGAUGACACGUAAAUUCGUGAAACGUUUCAUAUUUCC